GUGCACCCCAUCCAACCAGUCACCCGCCACCACUUCGCAAGCCUCUCUCUCCCGCCCUUCCGUGUCCUCGAUGGGGGUCUUCCCAUGGACCUGCCGCUGCGGGCUCAACCCUUCCCCCAGCAAGAACAGGGGUGCGCCCGGUCGUCGUCCUCCUCCUACUCCCCGAGGCAGGAGGUCCAAGUACACGGGACAAUCUGUGAGAACGAUGCCUAUGCGUGUGAUAACAGUCGGCAAGAAGAGAUCUCAAGGGACGCAACUUCUUGUUGAAGAAUACAAGGAGAAGCUUGGUCACUACUGCGCCGUUGAAGACACCCUUAUCAAAUCCAACCCAAAACUUACAAGUGACGUUAAGGUGCAAAUCGAAGCGGAAGACGUGUCUAUGAUGCAGCAGCUCAAGGCUGAAGAUUUUGUUGUUGUGUUGGAUGAAAACGGGAAGGAUGUCAUGUCUGAGCAGAUAGCUGAUCUGAUUGGAGAUGCUGGCAGCACGGGAUCGUCAAGGCUCACAUUUUGUAUUGGUGGGCCAUAUGGUCUUGGGGUACAAGUACGAGAGCGGGCGGAUGCAACAAUUAGGCUAUCCUCACUGGUUUUGAAUCACCAAGUCGCUUUAAUAGUUCUAAUGGAGCAGCUCUACAGGUGAACAAUGAGGUUUUGUAAUGCAGUAAUGUCAUUUCUACAUUUGAACAUACUUCGGUAAUUCCAAUGGAGCAACUCUACUGUGAUAUAACUGUAUAAUCAAAGGGGCAUGGACAAUAAUCAAAGGACAGAAGUAUCAUCACUAGAUUUGAGUUGUAGUAGCAUCAUCUGGUGCAUUCUGCACGCGGCUACAGGCGCUUCUGUAUGGUUUGUGGUCGUUAGGCUAGCCCAAAGGGCCCGGUAAUAUCUUACCUGGUAGAGGAACCGGCGGCGGCGCUCCUCGGAGAGAGCAAUACUACUGGUGACAACGCUAGUACUGCCGGUCCUAGGCAGACUGUAGGGUCAGAUUGAGUGGGUGAUCUCCACGGCAUUUUGGGAAUGCUUUGGAGGUGCAUUUUACGUUUGCCUAGGUGAACUUGAUUUCAACCUUACCUUCCAAAGCCGAUGCCAUCUUGAUAAUAUGGUUUUUGUAUAGCAGACUAAAACAAAAUGAAAUAGGCAGAACAC